rnacentral:rRNA from 1 species
UUGAAUAAUGCAGACAGUGGAUGCCUUGCUUCUUAUCUCCGAAAAAGGACGUACAUAGCCACGAAAGUCGCCGGGUAGCUGCUACGAAGCUUUGAUCCGACGGUGUCCGAAUGGGGAAACCCAUCGCGUUUUACGCGAUACUCUGUGGUAAAAACGUCGACGCAAGUCGAUGUAUAGCCGCUGAGGGGAAACCGCCCGAACUGAAACAUCUAAGUAGGGCGAGGAAUAUAAAUCAAAUCGAGAUUCCGCCAGUAGCGGCGAGCGAAAACGGAAUAGUCUAAAUUGUUCUUUGUUCUACGAACUGUGUUCUGCAUGCUGCGCAUGCACGUUGCGGGAGCCCAAUAUGGGAUUAGUAUUUAAUAGCAGAAUGGUCUGGAAUGGCCAAUCAUAGGGAGUGAAAAUCUCGUAUGCAAAAUUAAAUAUUACCCUAGGGAUUUCCCAAGUACCACGGAGCACAUACUCUGUGGGAAUCGGGGGGAACCAUCCUCCAAGACUAAAUAAGAUAAGAGAGCGAUAGUGAACUAGUACCGUGAGGGAAAGGUGAAAAGCUGGGUGAGACACCCAAUGAAAUAGAACCUGAAACUGUUUGCAGUCAAACCGUGAGAGCCCCAAUUUAUUGGGGUGAUCGCGUGCCUAUUGAAGAAUGAGCCGGCGAGUUUUCAAUUAUUUCCAGUCUAAGUCGUCUAAGACGAUGGAGGCGUAGGGAAACCGAGUGUUAAUAGCGCGUCAGAAAUAAUUGGAAGACCCGAAACCAGGUGAGCUAACCUCGAGCAGGGUGAACCAAGCAGAAAUGCUUGUGGGAGGCCCGAACCCGUUGUUGUUGCAAUAACAUGGGAUGACUUGUGGUUAGGGGCAAUAUACUUAUCGAACCUGGAGAUAGCUGGUUCUCCCCGAAAGGUCUAUGGGGACCGUGGCACGUAACGUUCUGUUGGUUGUAGAGCACUGGAUGGGUAAGAGAGCGUAAGCAAUUUUACUCAAUCAAACUCCGAAUGCCAGCGUGAGAAAGCCGCAUCGGGCUAAGCUGAUGCGACGAAAGGGAAACAACCCUUGACUCUCAGUUAAGGCCUCUAAAUUACAACUAAGUUUGAAAGGAAGUUUCUUUUCUCAGACAGCCAGGAGGUUGGCUCAGAAGCAGCCACCCUUUAAAGAUAGCGUAACAGCUCACUGGUCGAUGGGAGGAAGCGCCGAAGAUUUAUCGAGGAUAAGUUGUAUGCCGAAGCUAGAGAUUUUACACCGUGAGGUGUGGAGUGGUAGGGGAGCGUUCCAAUUGCGGUGAAGCUCUGGCUGUAAGGCCGGGUGGGUUUCCACUGCAAGAUUCGUUCUCAGUGGGUUAUUCGGUACCUAAGGCGAGGCCGUUUUGGCGUAGUCGAAUGGAUGAUUGGUUAAAAUUCCAAUAUUUGUGUUAAAUCGUUAUCAACUAGGGAUUUACUAAGCAGGAAUUUCGGAGCUUUUUCGUGAAGUAAAGUGCAGAAGCCAAAACAGUUGUGAUUGGAAAAUCCGUCGCAGCGUUUAAUUAAGGUGGUGCAAAGUCUUCCGCGAGGGAGGCGAUUCCGAACGUUUCAGUUUACGAGAAAAGAUUCGUAGUGAGAGUUAACAUAAGCCGUACCGCAAACCGACACAGGUGGACUGGGGGAGUACCCUAAGACGAUCGAGAGACAAAUCCUCAAGGAACUCGGCAAAAAAACUACCCGUAACCUCGGGAGAUGGGUUGCCUUGCUUAAAAACAAGGUGGCAC